rnacentral:rRNA from 1 species
UACGUAGGUGGCAAGCGUUGUCCGGAAUUAUUGGGCGUAAAGCGCGCGCAGGCGGUCCUUUAAGUCUGAUGUGAAAGCCCACGGCUCAACCGUGGAGGGUCAUUGGAAACUGGGGGGACUUGAGUGCAGGAGAGAAGAGUGGAAUUCCACGUGUAGCGGUGAAAUGCGUAGAGAUGUGGAGGAACACCAGUGGCGAAGGCGACUCUUUGGCCUGUAACUGACGCUGAGGCGCGAAAGCCAGGGGAGCAAACGGG